rnacentral:pre_miRNA from 1 species
AAGUCAAACUUCUCUAUGUUUUAACUAAGUUUAUAGAAAUAUAUAACAACAUCUAGAAUACCACCAAGUUUACAGAAAUAUAUAUAAUGACAUCUAGAAUACAAGCAAGUGCACUCUCAAGAUAUUAAUUUGGUGUUUAAUGUUGGCACCUUUUUAUAGAUUUAGUCAAAGUUAGAGAAGUUUGACUUAG